CUUCACCGAACCGAGCAGCAGCGGGAUCUCCCGAUCCUGUCCGUAGGUCGCCAGCAGCGCCUGUGCUUC
rnacentral:antisense_RNA from 1 species